GACGAACGCUGGCGGCGUGCUUAACACAUGCAAGUCGAACGGUAAGGCCCUGCUUUUGUGGUGUGCUCGAGUGGCGAAGGGGUGAGUGACAUGUGUGUAAACUGGCCUGGACGUUGGGAUUACUUCAUGGAACUGGGGCUAAAAACGGAUAAAAGCCCCUGGUGCAAAGUGGGGGUUGUAAGGGUUCGGUGGCUGGGGAUGUACCCAGGGGUUAUUAGCUUGUUGGUGGGGUAGUGGCUUACCAAGGCGUCGACGGAUAGCCGGCCUGAGAGGGUGACCGGGGACAUUGGGACUGAGAUACGCAGCAGACGCGUAUGUGAGGCAGUAGUGGGGAGUAUUGCACAAUGAGCGGGAGCGUGAGAAAGAGACGUUCGGUGCGGGAUGACCGUUCUGGGGUUAUAAACGGGUUUCGCCUGAGAAGAAGGUUGAGUGACGGUAAUGGCUAAAGAAGCACCGGCUAACUCCGUG
rnacentral:rRNA from 1 species